rnacentral:misc_RNA from 1 species
CUUUUUCUGCUCCACAAAAAAAGCCAGAACUCUUGAUAUUUAUAUAAACUUGUGAACAAAUAUUACAAUUAGAUUACCUUCCAAAAUUACAGACAAAAUCCUCAGCUAAUACCAAGAGGAUUCAUCGCCAUGACCAAUUAUCAGAUGAGAAACAAUGGCAAGUGCAGUCUUAAAAGGACCGUGGGCCAUUUCCUCCUUUGAGAUUAAUUAAAAAAAAAAAGGGAAAGAAGAAGAAUAUAUACAGUAUUGGACUAAAAUUCACACAGCAACACAAAAUAUUAUACACAAAAACAGUCAAUUAACAAGAAUAGGCCAAUCGGUGAAUCACACGAUCCCUAAGGAUCCCAUUGUAAAGAGCCACUCUAUUUGCAGG